AAUCAACGACGGCGAAUCUCUCCAUUGCAUUCUGAACUGGAAGCACUAUCGUGGGCAAUGGAGUGUAUGCUACAGGUAUCGACAUGCCAAUCUUUUGGGACUGACUGCAAGGAAUUAAUCGCGAUGACCAAAGAACCGGGAGCAUGGCCGAGCUUCUCUACCGAGCUGGAGGAGUUUAUGAAGCUGAAAGCAAGAUUCACGGAGUUCUCGAUUGUUUUUGUACCUCGUCAGGAAAAUGUAUUGUCUGAUUCAUUAGCUAAGAUAGCGAGAUCCUUCCAUAGGGAGUUGUAUUACAUUGGUUGUUCUGUUCCGGUCUGGUUCCUCAGACCACCUCAAGCUUGAGUAAUAGAAUAGCCGUUUGAAGAAAAAAAAAAAAAAAAACUAUGAUAAAUAGAAUAACACAUACAUUUUUAAGAAAAUAUAGAAAUCACAAGAAACAUUUAACUUAUUUCAAUUAUGUUUUUUCCUCUUCUUCUUAUCACAAAGCUUAUUUUUCAAUUUUAAAAGAAAUAACAAUAGAUUAAGAGAAACUUAUCCCAAGAAUACAAAGAGUGGUUUAGUUUCAAAAGAAAUAUGUUUUCUAUCAAAAAUAAAAAUUAACAGAAAGAUAAAAAAAUUACAAGAAUUUAAAUAUUUCUAAAACGCAUAUAGAGGUGUAAUUAAUUAAUUUUGAAAAUUUAAGUUAUGAUUAUAUCAAAAGGUUUCCAAGAAUAUUAAUAGUAAUCUAUAUACAAGUGAUUGGAACUUUUCAAAAAGUAUUUUUACCAAUAUAUCAAAUUAAAUAACAACUUUGUAAUAUACCCAUAUAUAAAAGUUCAAAAAAAAAAUGCUCUAAGCCAAUGUUUCCAAUUUUUGUGAAUAGUCACGGUUCUGAGGAUCUUGAUGUUAAAGAUGUAAAUUUGUUCAAGUAGAUUUUCUCCAAAAAAAAAACUGUCAAAAAAUUUAUCAAAGUCAAUCACCUUCACUCCUAGAUUAUAUUAUUCUAACCAGAAAAAAAAAAGAAAAAUCUUAGAAAAUGGGCCAACGGUGUGGAAUCAAAAAGUCUUAAAUUCAGACGCACAACCCAAAUCAGAAGAAAAAAAAACAAAAUUUAGAAUGAACUUGCUUUGAACUAUCUCAACAAUGGUCAUUUUCAACAAUGGAGACAAAACCAGAGGAAGUAACAAGGCAAGUCCUACAAGGACAAAGGUUGCAUGUUACAAAUCUUUUAAAAAGUAGAUAUGACGCAUCAUGCUAAAUUGGCUUUUUUUUGUCAACUUAUCAUUCUAUUGAUAAAGCGUAUUGGGCUAGAUUACAAGUAAAUUCAUACAAUCCAAUCCCACCAAAAUAAAAGUCCCAUAAGAAAAUUAAACCUAAGGGUCCAAAUCCAAUUUAUUGAUCUGAAGACACCAUCUUCAAGAAACACAUUUUUUUUUGAAUUGAAUGUUUAAUUUAAUUCAAAAGAAAAAAAACUGUUUUUACAUCAAGUAUUCUCUACUUUCUGAUCACAAGCAUAAAGAAAAUAUCUAAAAUUCUCAAAUUUUAAAAGCCUCCAAAUUUUGUGCUUCCUUCUCAACUCUGCCUUCUACCAAACCAGAUAGCCAUCCCACCUUCAUAAGAUUUAUCUCCUCUCCUUUUAAUGACGGUAAAUCUGUUUCUCAUGUUCUUGUCUAUCCUUCUGAUCAAGAGUGUGGCUGGACAUGGAGCUUCACCAUGCCUUCUUCUGUUCCUUUCCCUCCAAAUUGUAUGAACCGUGGACAGAAGUAUAUACUUGGCAAUGAAUACCAUAAUUUUACUCCAAUUCAAAGCUGUUGUAAUGAGCCGUACCAGCCUAUUCCAAUAAACUAUGUACUGAUCCCUCAUUACACCUUUCAUAAGAGCCUCCUAGAUUUGUGCUCAAUAAGCACACUCAAAGAAUAAGUGGUUUAAAGUUUCCAGCGGUUUCUGGCAUAAAACGCAAGAUACAUUUGCAUUUGCUUUCUAACUUCUCAUUCUAUCACAUGUUGAAAGUCUCCCCUUCAUUGUCAACCAAGUGAUAAAUGAGAACUUUGGAGUAGCAUAUUUAAACCAUACAACCGGGUACCAAUCAAACACUUGAUACUUCUCUCUUAUACUCAUCCAUGUUUCUUUGGUACAAAACUGUCUCUUGUACUGUCCUUUCUCAUUUCUCCACAGUGACACAUCUUCCUCAUGAGUUAAGUUUGCUUUGUACUUCUCAAUCUCUUCCUCAACUCUGUUUAAUAUUGUGAUUCGAUGACGCCUUCUUCGAUGGUUUCUGCUUUCAGCCACAGUUGCAUUUAUCGAAAUCCUCAUAUCAAUGUAGCCUCUAUCUCUUAGCACCUCCUUUAAAGAACCCAAUGACGACCACAUCUCAUGCCAGAAGGAUGCUUUCUUACCAUCUCUUACUUCAACUCUAUAGAACAACUUUGCAAUCUCUCGGUAUUUAAGUUUUCGUGUUAGCUAAAGACCUGAAGCCUACGCACUAAAACAAUGCAAAUAAACAUCUGACACUUUCUCUCUCUUCUUUUUGUUCCAACUAAGUCCGUUUCUCCUCCAUGUGCAUGUCUUCUCCUCUACAACCACCUCCUCCGAUUCCCAAAUUCUCCAAAUCUAGGGUUUCGGCUCCGAUCUUACUAUUUUUGGAUCCUCGGCUCUUUAGAGAAAAUCGAGCUCAUGAGAGUCGUCGCUGAUGAUGAUUCUUCUUCUUCUCCGCCUAUUGAAGCUCCGUGUUUCGAUUCGAUAGAUGUGAAGGUGAAGCUAGAGGAAGAGUCGGAUUGCGUGAAGAAGACUCGGCCUAGACGCGGUCGUCUGCAGAGAACAAAUGGGAAAGCUUCUCCGAUUUCUCCGAGAAAGAGGAGAGAAGACGAAGAUGUUUGUUUCGUUUGCUUCGAUGGAGGUAGUCUUGUCCUCUGCGAUCGUAGAGGGUGUACAAAGGUAUACCACCCAGUUUGUAUAAGCGUACUGAAGCUUUCUUCAUAUAAAGAUCAAAAUGAAACUGUGGUUGGCAUAUAUGUAGCGUGUCAGAAGGAUUCUUUCUACACGUGCUAUACUUGUCCUUAGUCUGUUUGCAAGAAAUGCGUUAGAAGCUCAAAGUAUAUAGUUGCUUAUUGAGAAUGCAGCAGCUGAAGCUAACAAAGAAAAGGUGCAGGUUGAUUUUGAUGAUCAAUGCAGCUGGGAGUAUCUUUUCAAAAUUUAUUGGAUUUCUCUUAAGGAAAAGUUAUCUUUAUCGUUAGAUGAUCUUACCAAAGCAAGAAACCCAUGGAAAAUCAUCUAAGAGGAAAGCUACUAACCGGCUUCAUGAAAAGGACGGUAGUUUGUAAACAUUUUUUUCUGCAUUUAGAGAGCCUGCAUUUAGAGAGCCUGUUACAAAAAAAUAUAUUCAAAUAGUCAUCAUUUACUAAUUCAAAUGAGAGUCGCAAACUUCUCUUUCUGAAGUCGAAUCUUCUCUUUACUCUUUUAGUUCAAAUCCUUCCCUCCAACGGCCACUUCCACUUCCAUCUCAUCCUCUCCAUUCGAGCUUUCCCUGUUCUUCCUCCUAUAAUAUGAAUUAUGGUAUGAUUCAGCAAUAUGCAAUGCACACAGUAAUAUUAAACUCGCUUUAGCAGCUUAUCAGAUAGUAAAUGGAGUAUCACCAUUGACAAGUAAUAUUAAAAUUAUAGAGAAUGGAAAUGCACAGUAUGAUACAAUCCUUAUUGCAACUAAGUUGGUGUCUUUUAUUAUCAUAUUAAUUAUCCUAUUUCAGGUCAGAUAAGAAGGAAUAUUUCUUGUUGAAGCGCUUAGAAAAAUAAAUAAAUAGAGGAAGACUUCUUGCUGCAGCGUUUUGGUAUAUGUUUUUUUUAAUGACAACAACCCAUUAUAUUAUUCAUAUUUGAGAUAGUCUAUGUAACUAGACCGAAAUAGAAUAACCAACAAAACAAAUGUUCCUAUUGUCCUAACUAAAUGAUCGGCAGUUCCAUUAUGUCCUCUAUGAAUAUAGAUGAUCUUUGAAACCUUCCCUUGAGAUUUUCAAUCUCCUUCAAGUAUGUUGGCUACCAUUGCUAUUAUAUCUCUUUGUAAUCCGUAUCAAAUUUUUGACAUGUCGAAUGAUGCAACAUGCUAUCCAUAGUCCAUCGAAGCGCUUCUAACUCUGUGUACAAUAGAAAUUCUCUUUAUCUUAUAUUUUUCGUAUCCAUGAGUUGUGGCUGUCCAUCACCAUCAAGCUAUGUUCAUCCACAUCCACUUUCUAAAGAAGUAGAGAUCCAAGAAAUAUCCACCAAACAAAUACUUUCCAAGCGUAAAACUUGAGGCGGUAUUACAGGCUCAAAAUCUAAAUAUGUAGUUAGUGAAUUCGCCAAGAACCAUGCUUGGCAUUGUCCUUCAGCAUAUAUGUGUAACAUUUAUAUAAACAAAGAUUGAAUACAUUAAAUCAUAUUUCACUGUAAGGUAGUUUAUAUAUAACAUAAUAUAUAAAAUGUAAUAAAGAAAGCUCAAACUUUAAUUUAUGUAUUGCUAAUUUCUUUUAGCAUAGUAGGAUUUGUAAAUGUAAUACAGUUCUGCAUGGAUUUGGAUAAAAUUUUUGUUGUUAUAAAAAGGGGGCCUCCAAAUAAAAAAAAAAAAAAAAAGACUUAGAAUGGCUCAACUCAAGGGCUAACAAAAUAAGUAGAAAAUUAAUACAUCCGUACCUAAUUUAAACAGUUAUCCAAGUGGCCAACAAACAACAACCUCAGUUAUUGGAUUUUACUGUGAUAGACCAUCCCUAAUCAUGCAUAGGCACGUUACACAUUUACAUAACUACUCACAGAGUUGUGAGUUGUCUUUUUCAUUUA